UGCCGCGUGAGUGAAGAAGGCCUUCGGGUUGUAAAGCUCUUUCGGCCGGGAGGAAAUCGCAUCAGUUAAUACCUGGUGUGGAUGACAGUACCGGAAUAAGAAGCACCGGCUAACUACGUGCCAGCAGCCGCGGUAAUACGUAGGGUGCGAGCGUUAAUCGGAAUUACUGGGCGUAAAGCGUGCGCAGGCGGUUUUUUAAGACAGGCGUGAAAUCCCCGGGCUCAACCUGGGAACUGCGCUUGUGACUGGAAGGCUAGAGUAUGGCAGAGGGGGGUGGAAUUCCACGUGUAGCAGUGAAAUGCGUAGAGAUGUGGAGGAACACCGAUGGCGAAGGCAGCCCCCUGGGCCAAUACUGACGCUCAUGCACGAAAGCGUGGGGAGCAAACAGGAUUAGAUACCCUGGUAGUCCACGCCCUAAACGAUGUCAACUAGGUGUUGGGUGGGUAAAACCAUUUAGUACCGGAGCUA
rnacentral:rRNA from 1 species